rnacentral:lncRNA from 1 species
AGGAUAUGUUUAGGAUUUGAUUAGGGUUCAGUUAAAGUUUAUUUGGGUUUGUUUAGUAUUUGGUUAAGGUUUGUUUAGUGUUUGACUAGAAUUUAUUUAGAGUUGAUUUGGGUUUGGUUAGGAUUUGACUAGGAUUUGGUUAGGAUUUGAUUAGGGUUUGGUUAGGACUUCAAUAGGAUUUGAUUAGGAUUUGAUUAGGAUUCGACUAGGAUUUGAUUAGAUUUUGGUUAGGAUUUGAAAAUGAUUAAGAUUUAUUUAGGAUUGACUAAGAAUUGGUUAGGAUUUAAUUAAGGUUUGUUUAAGAUUUGAUUAGGGUUUGAUUAUGAUUUGUUAGGAUUUUAUUAGGAUUUAGUUAGAAUUGAUUAGGAUUUGAUUAAGAUUUGACUAGGAUUUGGUUAAGGUUUGUUUAAGGUUUGAUUAGGGUUUGAUUAAGAUUUGACUAGGAUUUGGUUAAGAUUUGUUUAAGGUUUGAUUAGGAUUUGGUUAGGAUUUGUUAAGAUUUGAUUAGGAUUUAGUUAGAGUUGAUCAAGGUUUGAUUAAGAUUUGACUAGGAUUUGAUUAGGAUUUUAUUAGAGUUUGAUUAGAAUUUGGUUAGGAUUUGAUUGGGAUUUAUUUAGGAUUGAUUAGGAUUUUGUUAGGAUUUGACUAAAGUUUAGUUAGGAUUUGGUUAGGAUUUGAUUAGUAUUUAGUUAGGGUUUGACUAGGAUUUGGUUAAGAUUUGGUUAAGAUUUGACUAAGAUUUUAUUAGAAUUUGAUUAGGAUUUGACUAGGAUUUAAUUAAGAUUUUUAUUUUAAGAUUUUAUUAAGAUUUUUAUUUUAGUAUAUUUUUGAAUUCCUAUAUUAUUUCUUUAUUAUGUCUUUAAAGGAUCUUUAGGAAUAUUUUAUAUUUCUUACAUAAUUCUUUUGUAAUUUUGAUUGAAUUUGAUUGAUGUUUGAUUAUACUUGCUAAUCUUUAAUUGUAAAUUGUUUAAGAAUCUAUUAGAAUUGUUCGGACUUGUUGCAAUUUUCCUUUUAUCUUCCACAACCAGGUGCUU